AACGAACGCUGGCGGCGCGCCUAACACAUGCAAGUCGAACGCGAAAGUGUAGCAAUACAUGAGUAAAGUGGCGCACGGGUGAGUAACGCGUAGGUGAUCUACCUUUGUGAUCGGGAUAACCAGCCGAAAGGUUGGCUAAUACUGGAUAGAGCGCAUUCAUCGUAAAGAUGAGUGCGGGAAAUGAGGGCGUAGCAAUACGCUCUUGCACUAAGAUGAGCCUGCGUCUCAUUAGCUAGUUGGUAGGGUAAAGGCCUACCAAGGCAUUGAUGGGUAGCUGGUCUGAGAGGACGAUCAGCCACACUGGAACUGAAACACGGUCCAGACUCCUACGGGAGGCAGCAGUGGGGAAUCUUGCGCAAUGGACGAAAGUCUGACGCAGCGACGCCGCGUGAGUGAAGAAGGCCUUCGGGUUGUAAGGACUCUGUCGAGUGGGAAAAGUAGGUA
rnacentral:rRNA from 1 species